AUUGUCACUGGGAUGAAGGAGUAACAAAUGGUACCUUGUAUCUUGAUCAAGGCAGAUCACCAUUAAAUACUGUAUUUGAAAUCUUAGAAGCUUAGGAAUAGCUUUAUGUACAUGACAACUAUUUUGCCUGUAGGAGAGCAACUCUAAAAAAUGUUUCUGCUGGAACUACAAAAAAUAUACUGAAUUUCAGAUGUGCACAGCAAAUGCAUUUCAAGAAAUUGAUGAUACCUGCUGUAUUGCCAGCUUCUUGUAGGAGCCCACCAUGCCACAAUAUUAACAAAGAGAAUACACAGAGAAAUACGUGGCAGAAAAGGAUGACAGUAAAGCCGAUAUCCUGAGCACUCUGGCUGAUAUAGAAAACAGCGGCUUUGAUGUGCUGCUUCAACAGCUCUUUGCCCAGCUGAAGCAUUGCUCUUAAUGAAAAUGAUCAAAUCCAUGGGACAAUUCUACUGUACUCAACUGCAUAAAGGCAUUUGAAUGUACAGAACUACAUUUUUAGGUCCUGGGACCUGGGAGUAGGAUGAAGAGAAUGAAACCUGCAGUGUACUUCUAGAUGAAAGCAACAGCUCUAUUGGAAGAAUAUUUCUCUAGUUCACUUGGAAAGGUUUUCUUGUCUUCAAGACAAGUUCAAAAGGUUCAUUUGGUUAAGAUAGCAACCAAGGGAAGGAAAAGCAGCACUGUGAGCACAAAAAAAGCAGCUUUUAUAAAAGCAUACCCUAAGAUAAACACAGAGUCAUCUAAGAAGAUAUUUAAUAAAUAAUACAUCAGAUUAGAAAAUUUAU